rnacentral:rRNA from 1 species
GACGAACGCUGGCGGCGUGCUUAACACAUGCAAGUCGAACGGUGAAGCACCUUCCUUUUGGUGGGUGUGGAUGAGUGGCGCACGUGUGAGUAACACGUGAGUAACCUGCCCCCUUCUUCUGGAUAACCGCAUAAAAGUGUGGCUAAUACGUGAUAUUCUGUACCUGCUGCGUGGGGGGUGUGGGAAAGAUGCGCUUUUGGGUUUUUGUUGUGUGGGAUGGGCUCUCGGCCUAUAAGCUUGUGGGUGGGGUGUUGGCCUACCAGGGCGGGGACGGGUAGCCGGGAUGAGAGGGUGGAAGGCUGCAUGGGGACUGCGGCACGGCCCAGAAUGCUACGGGAGGGAGCGGUGUGGACCAUUGCACAAUGGAGGCAAGCCGGAUGCCGCGACGCCGCGGAAGGGAGGGAGGCCUUCGGGUUGUAAACCUCUUUCGCAAGUGAAGCAGGCCUGUUAACUGUGGGUGGGUUGACGGUAGCUGGAGAAGAAGCGCCGGCUAACUACGUG